AAUUGUUGAGUUUAAUGCAUUUCAUUGCUACAAUUAAUCUAAUAUAUUUUAAUGAGCUUAGUUAUGGUUAGGCCAGUCAAUGGUUCAGAUCGGAGCAAAUCACGCUCUGAUCUAAUAUGAUCCAUCAAAUGUGAUAAUGUAUCAGCGAUCUGAUCAUUGAUUUGCGAUCCACUAUUUCUAACAAUAUAGAUUAUGAUCCAAAUCAAUCCAUUUUUUUUUGUACUUAUAUUAAAUUAUGAG
rnacentral:lncRNA from 1 species